rnacentral:rRNA from 1 species
UACGGAAGGCAGCAGUGGGGAAUAUUGCACAAUGGGCGAAAGCCUGAUGCAGCUAUGCCGCGUGUAUGAAGAAGGCCUUAGGGUUGUAAAGUACUUUCAUCGGGGAGGAAAAAACAAAACUAAUAAUUUUAUUUCUUGACGUUACCCGAAAAAGAAGCACCGGCUAACUCCGUGCCAGCAGCCGCGGUAAUACGGAGGGUGCUAGCGUUAAUCAGAAUUACUGGGCGUAAAGAACACGUAGGUGGUUUUUUUAAAGUCAGAUGUGAAAUCCCUGGGCUUAACCUAGGAACUGCAUUUUGAAACUGAAAUACUAGAGUAUCGUAGAGGGAGGUAGAAUUCUAGGUGUAGCGGUGAAAUGCGUAGAUAUCUGGAGGAAUACCUGUGGCGAAAGCGGCCUCCUAAACGAAUACUGACACUGAGGGUGCGAAAGCGUGGGGAGCAAACAGGGAUUAGAUACCCGU